ensembl:miRNA
GAGGCGGCCAGACCAGCAGGGCGCAGGGGACCAUGUGUCCUCCUUCCCGUGUGUUGAGCCGCGUG